CUUGCCAUCCUCCUGCCUCAGCCUCCCGGACUGCUGGGAUGACAGGCAUGCCCCACCACACCUGGCUAGAGGCCCUUUGAUGUAACAAUCUAUUAGCUUGAUAUUGAUUGUGGUGGGGAACCUAUGGCACGUGUGCCGCAGCAGCUGUUUGUUAUUGUCGAAAGCUCUAAGUUUUGCCAUCACUGUAGACUCUCAGAGCAUGUGUAGAUCUUUGUGCUCCUUCCUGAGCCCUGCAGACGUCCGAGGCAGGCUCUCAGUGGGCCUCCCCAGAGCGGGUAGGGCAGGACACGGAGGCUUCGCGACGUUAACUGUCUUAGGUGUUGCAGCAGGGAUCCAACCUGAGUCUGACACCGUUCUGAGAGAGUCCUGCCUCAGCCUCACCCUCACCCUCAGCCUCAGGACCCCUGUGGUCACUGAAUUCUGCCAUUGCUCUGGGGAGAAAGUAAGCCAAACCAAAGCAAACUGUGAAUUUCCAGAACCUUCUCUGAUUGGCCCCGUUGUUCCAAAGCAGAAAGGGGCAGAGGACAAGGGGACUGGGAGCACAGGCCAGAAGGGAUGAGGGUAUCGGUGGAUUCGUUUGAGGGUGGGAGGAGGGGAGCUGUCUGAGUCAGUCCUAGUUUCAAACCCAAGUCCUGAUACUUAUGAUCUGACCAAGUCACUUAACCUCAGUUUCGCUGUCUGUAAUAAUAUAACCCAUAAUAGUUCUCAUCUAAGGGAGGCCGCCAGUGUGAGGCGAAAUCACGUCAGCCCGGCACCUGGCCCGGGAAGCUUCUCGACAACAUUUGUUCCCUUCCCUCCUUUGUUCUCUUGCUGAUUGACUCAGCCAGGCCCGUUUUGGGUUUUGGCAUUCGGUAGAUUUCUACAGCUGAGAAAUCCAAAAAUAACCUUGAAUUAUGAUGGGUUUGGUGCUGAGGCUCGCUGGCAGGCACUUUUGUAUAAAUAGCAGAAGUGAAAAGGAAGAAAAAAAAGCAAUUUCAUUUCUAGUGUUUGAGACAAAGAGCCCCCCCUGCCCCCCAGCGCUGAGGGGGCGGAGAUGGAAAGGAGGGAAGGUUGGGUAGUUUUUCUUUGUUGUUUUUGUUUUUGUUCUGUGAUGAUGUGGGGGGACUCUCCAGGGAUAUCAUGUGGCAGAGAGCAGGGCAGAAGCGGGUGACGAAGGCAGGGCCCCGAGGGAAAUUUCACCCUGGCUCUGACGUGAUAGGGCAGAAGCAGGGGACAGAGAGAGGGCUGACGGGGAAGAGGUCCGGCGCCGUCACACCUUCCUUACUUCACGCUCUCAAGCGCAGCGGGCCAGGUUCCUCAAUUCAGCUUUCAAUGAGUUUCUGAAGAAAGGCCAUUUCUGUGGCCUGCGUGAUUCCUGAAGUGCCGGCGCUGUGGAGGCGGGGUUGCGAGGGGGUGUGUGUGUGUAGGUCCUGGAGACUCUUGAAAAGAGAAGCGGCCACUCUGGCCCACACAAGCAUCACGGGUUGUUAUUAUUUUUAACAGGCUGCCUCCCCCACAUCUCAGCCUAUUUUCACUGGUCCUCCUAUCUAGGUGUCUUUUCUCUGUCACUCACGUCUUCUGGCUCACAUUUUGUCCACCAUCUGCUCUCGGAGGCCGGAUGAUAUGGCAGAGGGGCUGGCGGAGGACAGCUGCUGGCCUCAUGGAGGACAGGAAGCGGAGAGUCAAAGGAGAUGAGCCCUUCCGGGUCCCACCACAGUGACCAGGCCCACCUCUGAAGACCGUCCGCUGGGAGCCCCAUGAUCCAACCUGCUGAAGGCCCCUUGGUGAUGGUGGUGAUUGUGUGAGGCCUCGGGGGACAUCUACAGAUAAACGUAACACUGUGCUUUCUUUGUAGGCUCAGCAAGAUGACGUGACCUCCCCCUGGGUUCAGGACUGGAGCUGGCCUUGGCCGUCCUCAUUAUGGGGGGCAGGGCGGGCUCAGGACUGGAGACCUGGGGAAGCCAGGCCGGCCUGACCUUUGCCCUGUCAUACCCAACUCAUCAAUGAAUACGCAGCAUGCUCCGUGUGGGCCUUGCCUAGCAGCCGCUGAAGAUGACCCAAGGGGUUGCCCGUGGCCAUUGUAGAUACCCCGGGGGUCGGGGUAGCUGAGCUGCGAUGAGAAGCUGCUGGAUAGAUUGAGGAGGGAAGUUUUUAAAAAAGUGGUAGCAAAAAUAGGGACGACACAAAUAUAACUUUAGACAAAUAAAUGGUGUUUUCUAUACAUCCUAGCCUAUCAUAUAGCAUGCCAUGCAGUUAUGAUGGAUGGUAAAUGAAUACCCGCUCGUCAAAUAAUCAAGGUGACAGAAAGCUAAUCACAAAAUAGGAAGCGCGGUGUGAUUCUGACUUUGGUGGGAAGUGAGGCUCUCCCCGUGGGAAGGUGUUUGGGAAGAUGAACGCCUAAAUAUUUUAACCCUGUGACUUUAGGGGGAGUCUUUCUUUUAUUUUUCUGGCUUUUCUUAAUUUUUUACAGUGGUCAUGCCUUUCAUUUCGAACAGGGAAAAACACUUGUAAGCGUGUCCAGUCAAUUCUCUAGGUAAAGUACUUGGGCUUUAAAUCUUGAAAACUCCAGAACCCAGGUCGAAACGUAGGACGAGAAUCGGAAGAGCUGUCAAAGAGCCUUCCGGUGGGGAUUCUCAAACCCGGCUCACUUCAAACCACCCGUGGACCUUGCAGUCACCCGAGAGUUUGGAGAGCUCCUUCGCCCACCAAGCAGCCUCCCCCAUGGCGGCACCCGAGGGUUCCAACGUGGCCCAGGCGGUGCGAUCCCACAGCCGGGUUUGAGAAGCCCUGCUUCGGAGCUGAACUGUCCAACACAAUAGCCACUGCCCAGCGGUGGCCACUCAACUUUCAUUUAAACUAAGUACGAUUAUAUAAAAAAUUCAGCCCCAUGGUUGUGCUCCCCGCUUUUUAAGCACCCAGCGGUGGCAUGUCGGUAGCGGCUGCCGCGCUGGACGGAGUAGAUGGAGAUCCGCCAGGACGGAGGAGGCCGGCCGGGAGCUGUCCUCCUCCAGCAGGCCUGAGGCUCACAGGCGGGCAAGCCUCCCUCCUUGCCUGCUCUGGGGCGCGGGCCUGGCCAGCGCGGUGGCGAUCAGUGAAACAAGUGUGUGCCUGGAAAGUUCUCUCUGCUUUCUUUGGGCUGCCCUGUCCUCCCCCUCGAGCUCGGGGGUGUUUACCUUGCACGUGUAUUUUUGAAGGCUCCACAGGCCCAGGUCCUCCCUACCCGUGCAGCCCCGCCAGGCCCCGAGAGCUGUUUACGUGGGAUCUGAAGCUCAGCAGACAGCAGCCUGGGCCAAGUGUUUUCCACGCUGCUGUGAAGCUGAGCGAGAGGAACAGAAUAACAAAAAGCCACUUCAAAACAGCAGCCAGAAACGCCAAGCAGAGACAAGCAGAGGUUUCGGGUACACUCACGUACACGCCCCCAAAGCCCCGACGCCGGCGGGAGAACGAAAACAAGUCACGAGGGAGGCCCUCACCUGCCGCUUGUGAGAUUGUCGCGGUCGCUGACUCGAGCCGGGCCUGUCCCUGCAGUUCCGAGAGGAGCUGGGAGUGCAGCUUGUGGGGGCUCAGAAACCUCACCUACCUUCUGAUGACUGUGGGGUCUGGUCGGGGACAGUCCCCAGGUGCUCCCUGCCUCUGGGAAGACGACCUGUGUCCUUCUGCGGAAGGAGGGGAAGGGCCAGGCUGCGGGGGGUGGGGGGCAGUGGGCUCUCCCAGCCCAAGGACGGGUGGAUUAGGGAGUAGAGUCCCACCGGGCCAGGCGCUGGUGCCUGCUGCUCCGGAAGGCGAGGCCUCCCUGAUGUCAUCCAAGACGUAAAGAAGGCCGCCUGUGUUCACACAUCUCUGGGGCCCAAAGCCAAAGAUGUAACCACGAAGAAGCCAACCCAGAACAGAAAGCCCGAUGCCGCCCGUCACCCGACCCUAGGGCCUCUGUCGGGUGGUACAAUACAGUGAGGAGAGCCCCGGGGAGGGGGAUGGUGUCAGCCAGGUCACUUCCGCCUUGACCUGUACAUCGCCACGCGGGUCAGGAAUGGCUCUCAACCCCGGCUCUCAAAGUGCAGUGGUUUAAAUAAAGACCAUUCUAGAUGUUCUGAGAAGCUGCUUGGGUGUCAGGAUUUUAAAAAGCUCUUCCGAGGGGCCCCCGUGCACGGAGAUUGAGAAUCGCUGUCAGCCCAGUGCUUCCGGAAGGCCUGGGUUCGUUAUCCUCCAAACAUCACCUUCUGGAAGGACACCAGCCUCUUCUGACGUCGCCAGCCUGCCCGGAGGCAGCUUGGCUAAUCUGCUAUUCUUCGGGUGGCAGAUUCACUCCUGGCCUGGGUGUUCCGACGCCACCGCUGGCACCAAGAAGUGGGGGAGGAGGGAUGACGUCGUUAAGCCCCGUGAGGUGAAAGGAGAAUUUAUUCCCAGGGACUUUGGGGCUCACCUUGAUUUAGUGAGGUGACCCACUUGGCCGGACAGCUCCAGCGGUCAACACCCCUUCGCUUCCAGGUAAAUGGAACAGGAUUCCGUCCUGGUCCCUGCGUCCAGUUCUUGUCGAGCUCCUGUAGAGGGCGCUGGAGGUAAAGCACAGGAAGCAGCGCCCGGGGGACCGUGCACUUCCGGGUGGAGAUGUGUCAUAUCCCAGGGACGCAGACACCGGCAGGCUCCAGGUUCUCCUUACUGCCAGGGUCCUUAAGCCUCCCACAAGCGACACCUGUCUGGGGCACUGCUUGUUGGAGGAGAGGGAUGCCCGUGUCAGAGAAGCCAGCUGCUCACCGUGCCCUUACUUCUGAUCCCGAGAGAGCAAACUAAACAGACUGCGAUGCAUCUCGGGCUGCCUCGCGCACAGAUGUGUCUUCGCAAGGACCCACGUAACUCAUGCCGCAGCAGGAACGAUGGGUUUGGUUUCUGUAGGGGGAAGAAAUCUUUUUUUCUUUCACCCUGCUGGGGCCUUGGCCGCAUUUCUAUAAAAGGCAGAUGAGCAAGAAAAAAAGCGUACAAAUUUAUUUAAUAUAAGAGUUGCAUGACAAAGGCGCCUUCUAAGAAAAUGCAGACCCCCAAGAAAGGGUGGAAGCUGACUGCAUGUGUAGAACUCUCACGAGGAGCAGAAGGUCAUGGGGACGUAGGAGAGGACCACGGGGGUCCGAGCCGAGAGGAGUAAGGGGGGACCCCGUCAGCUCUGUGUGCUCAGACCUCACACCCCCUUUUCAGGAAUAAGAUGCUCUUUUUGCUGAGCACAGCAGGCAGCUCUCAGAUGAGAGUCUUACAGUCUGCUUCCAGAGGAGGCCAGGAAGUCCGUCCUGUCCCUGCCGUUUCUCCAACCCCGUCUGCUUAAGAAAGUCCGUGCCCCGAGACCCCAUAUGUGGGGAGUCACGCAUCCUAAACCCCAUCAACACAUCUCCCCUGGAGACCAGCCUGGUGGGGGCUCAUGACUCAGCACUGGCUCUGAGAGCGCAGGUUCCCCGGGCUCCCCGCUACUGCCUGCUGCUUCGCUGCCAGGCCUGUGCUGCUGCCCACGCGCUCCGUGGGCCGCCAGGGGGCUAGGACGGUGCUCUGGCGGCUGGGUCUUUCUCCAGUUCUGUCGCUGGCCCGCUCUUCCUUGUUACAUCACAUGCUUCAGGUGACAACUGCAUUUCCUUAGGUGUGUGGUGGAAGCUUGUGGAAGGAGGGCCCGGCUGGCGGUUGAAAAGCAGAGCUGCUACUUCCACCUUGGGACACCGCCAGCGUGGCUGUGGCCGCCUGCACCCAUCUCUGGAAAUGACGAUUAGGAUCACCGUCUUUCUCAUUGUCCCACGGAGAGAAAUCAUUUGCUUCAGAGCCUUUCACCUGCUUAGAAAAGCACUUUAAGAACUGCAGGGCUAGGAGAAAAGCGUUGGUCCCCGGAGAGAGCUGCUGUGGAGGGGAGGCUGCUUGGCUUGCAGUCUGAGCUUGUUUCUCACAGCGGGGCACCCAUCACCCACAGAACCUGAGUCACACAGACCUGGCUGGGAAUGCUGGCUCCAUCAUAAGUUAAUCGCGUGGUUGUGGACCAGUUAUUUCACCUCUGUGAGCCUCAGUUUCUCAGUCUGAAAAAUGGGGAUAAUAUUCAUGCCAUCCUCCUAAGGUUAUGGGUGGGUGAAGGGAGAGGAUGGGUGCAAAGCCUUUAGUCUAGAUCUGGCAUCUGCAGGGGUUCAGCAGCUCUGUGUGAUGAGGGAUUGAGUUACUUCCUGUUCUUAACUACAGAUUCCUUCUCUUGUUAACCCAGCACUGUUUGACUGGAAGAUAGUGCCGUGGAUGAAGUUAUGGCUUUCACGGGUUGUACGUGAUGUGAUCAAAAUACAGACCCUCCACCGCUUGUCUUCGUGUGCCUGACUGCAUCCUUCACGGGCUGGAUCUGUUAGUGUUGCUUCUGGAGGGCUCGGCAAUCCCUGAGUGCUGGUUCCAAGUGGUUUGGGACGUCCUGAAACACCGGUGAGACCCGGGUGACCUGUGCUGCCACCAAGCUUCCCUGAAAACAAGACCUAACUGGAAAAUACUCAGCCUUCAAAACUGGAGAUCAUAAAUGCUGGCCCCGGGAAAACGGGCUCUCCUUGUGCUGAAGACUAAACCUGCACCUGUGUCUCUCAUCAGGCACCAAACUAAAAUUGAAACGGAUCAAAGAUCUAAAUAUAAAAACUGAAGCUAAUCUGCUGGAAGAUAGAAGAGUACCAGCAAUCGAACUCAC